CCUACGGGAGGCAGCAGUCGGGAAUAUUGCGCAAUGGAGGAAACUCUGACGCAGUGACGCCGCGUGCAGGAUGAAGGUUUUCGGAUUGUAAACUGCUGUAAACAGGGAAGAAAAAAGACAGUACUAGUAGAAUAAGCACCGGCUAACUACGUGCCAGCAGCCGCGGUAAUACGUAGGGAGCAAGCGUUAACCGGAUGUAGUGGGUGUAAGGGGUGCGUAGACGGAGAAUCAAGUUAGUUGUGAAAUCCCCCGGCUUAACUGAGGAACUGCAACUAAAACUAGUUCCCUGGAGUACUGGAGAGGAUAGUGGAAUUCCUGGUGUAGCGGUGAAAUGCGUAGAUAUUAGGAGGAACAUCAGUGGCGAAGGCGACUUUCUGGACCGUAACUGACGCUGAGGAACGAAAGUGUGGGGAGCAAACAGGAUUAGAUACCCUAGUAGUC
rnacentral:rRNA from 1 species